UCUUUAAAAAAUGAUAUUGCCAAAAAUCAGAACUAAAAUAUUUUUAGUUAUAUUCCAACCUCCUCUCUUCUUCCUCCUUUACCUUAAAAAUAGAAGCUAAGCCCAGCCUUCCUAUAUAAGUCCAGACGGGGUGUAAGUACCAACCUCGGCUUGGUGAUCCACCCUCUCUUGGUAGCCUCCUGUAUGAAAGAAGGGGACCAGGACCUGGGCGAUUCAGGAAGUUGCAAACUGGGAAGAACUAGGCCCUGGGGGCUUGGUCUAUUGAUCUGGGAAGACCUGGAAAGAAACUUCUCACUUUUGGAGGAGGACUGAUGAGUGCCGUUAGAGUGGCUUUAGCAAAAUAUUGAGCCACUUCCUAAAUGCCUUGCCUUCUGGAUAGCUCCAGAAGCAAGGUCUCAGACUUAAGAUCCAGUGCCGUUCCAAGGUGAGUCAAUCAGUUGGCAAAUACGUAGUGAUCUCUGAACAAUACUGCUCAUGCAAGUUGGGGCUCUAUGCCAACUUGGACAGCCGCACUGGAGCUCCAUGGAGUUUAUUUUUUUUUUAAUUUGCUGCAGAGACUUCGACGACCCAGGAGAUGGUUAAUGAAGUCACUAUUUUGGCUCAAAACUCCCAUUCCCUGCCCCUCCCCCCAAAGCAAAUAGGUAAACACAUAAAUGAAAGAAACCCACAGAAUAGAGUGGGAAAGAAAGAAAAUCCUCUCAAGGCUUCUCCAGUCCAUGUCACUGGUCGGUGCGGUUUUUAUGGGUGUUAAGAUUGGAAGAUGUCAUGACAUAAGAAUCCAGUACUUUAUAACCAAAGCAAUUAAAAGAUAUUGGGUAGGGAAUGUUGGCCAGUUUUGUUUAAAUUUGCAUCACAUCGUCACCAGACUCCAUCUCUCGCCCAGAUAAUCGGGCACCCGGACGGGGAGAUUAGAAUGUGCAGAAGUUACUAGUGUGCAAAUGAUAACUGCUAACGAAAGAGUCCUUGACUCAGUUAGUGGUUGGAUGUAGUCACACUCGUUUGCCUCUGCCCAUCCUCGCCUCCCUAGCAAGGAGAAUAUUCGGGGCAUGAUGCUAUGAGUACUGGGUAAAUGUGGUGAGAAUGUGUGUGUGUGUAUCUCUGCUUCUCA
rnacentral:lncRNA from 1 species